AUUGAACGCUGGCGGCAGGCCUAACACAUGCAAGUCGAGCGGAUGAUGAAAGCUUGCUUUCUGAUUCAGCGGCGGACGGGUGAGUAAUGCCUAGGAAUCUGCCUGUUAGUGGGGGAUAACUCGGGGAAACUCGGGCUAAUACCGCAUGCGUCCUACGGGAGAAAGUGGGGGAUCUUCGGACCUCACGCUAACAGAUCAGCUUAGGUCGGAUUAGCUAGUAGGUGAGGUAAUGGCUCACCUAGGCUACGAUCCGUAACGGGUCAGAGAGGAUGGGAAGGCAGGAUGGAAAUGAGACACGGUCAAGACACCGAAGGGAGGAAGCAGGGGGGACUAGUGGAAAAGAGGCGAAAGCCUGAUGCAGCCAAGCCGCGGGUGUGAAGAAGGUCGUCGGAUUGUAAAGCAGUGUAAGUUGGGAGGAAGGGUUGUAGAGUAAUACUCUGCAAUUUUGACGUUACCGACAGAAUAAGCACCGGCUAACUCUGUGCCAGCAGCCGCCGUAAUAC
rnacentral:rRNA from 1 species